AUUGGCUUUUGGGCAUACAAUUAGUAAAAAAACAUAUCCGUGGGGUAAAUAUACGGGAAGUGUACUUUAAACUUGUGUAUCGAUGGUAUCUGGUGCCCACUCGCCUUCAUAGAUUUCAACCCACACUUCUACCAGAUUGUUGGAGAUGUGGUAGGGAACUAGGCUCAUUCUCUCACAUAUGGUGGGACUGUGAAGAGUUGAAACCUAUGAAAGCAACUUUAUCGGAUUUUGUAAAUUUUAUGCUGAAUGCACAAACUGUUAUUAUGGCUCAAACGUUCC